CACCCUGGUGCGUUUGAGGUUCUAACCUAGGUCCAUUAUCUGGAUCGGGGACAGUGCAUGGUAGGCAGUUUGACUGGGGCGGUCUCCUCCUAAAGUGUAACGGAGGAGUACGAAGGUGCGCUCAGACCGGUCGGAAAUCGGUCGUAGAGUAUAAAGGCAAAAGCGCGCUUAACUGCGAGACCCACAAGUCGAGCAGGUACGAAAGUAGGUCUUAGUGAUCCGGUGGUUCUGUAUGGAAGGGCCAUCGC
rnacentral:rRNA from 13 species